rnacentral:lncRNA from 1 species
UAUUCUCGAGAGUGUACUAAUCCGCGGAAGGAGGCAAAGAAGGAGCACGAGAUUCCGCAACUAGCUAAAGUGGGCGUGGAUGACGGCCCAGGGUUGCUUUGAUGAAGAAGCUACGACAGAUAAGAAACAAAAAAAGAGUCGUGUCUUUAAUUUUUUUUCCUUGUGUCUGAGUCGUUAGUGUGUCUUGGCGAGAAGACGAAGGCCAGCGUGAAGAUGGAUGCGCACCGGUUAAGUUGAGUUCCUACAUGAGUGACUAUGUGUUUAGUCUGCAUGUAGCACGCUAAGAUAUGAUGGCGUGGACUAGUAAUCCAAACGAUGUGUUGAUUCCGAGUCGAUGAGUCGAGUGUUUGGAGUAAGGGGGUGAAUGUUGGUAUAAUCCAAACAUGGCUACGUGUGGCUAGUACUAAGUUGCUUGAGUUUUAUUUA